rnacentral:rRNA from 1 species
UACGAAGGGGGCUAGCGUUGUUCGGAUUUACUGGGCGUAAAGCGCACGUAGGCGGAUAUUUAAGUUAGGGGUGAAAUCCCAGAGCUCAACUCUGGAACUGCCUCUAAUACUGGGUAUCUAGAGUUCGAGAGAGGUGAGUGGAAUUCCGAGUGUAGAGGUGAAAUUCGUAGAUAUUCGCAAGAACACCAGUGGCGAAGGCGGCUCACUGGCCCAUUACUGACGCUGAGGCACGAAAGCGUGGGGAGCAAACAGG